rnacentral:rRNA from 1 species
UACGUAGGGUGCGAGCGUUAAUCGGAAUUACUGGGCGUAAAGCGUGCGCAGGCGGUUUUGUAAGCCAGAUGUGAAAUCCCCGGGCUUAACCUGGGAAUGGCAUUUGGGACUGCAAGGCUCGAGUGCGGCAGAGGAGACUGGAAUUCCUGGUGUAGCAGUGGAAAUGCGCAGAUAAUCAGGAGGAACACCGGUGGCGAAGGCGGCUCCUCGUGGAACCGG